rnacentral:rRNA from 1 species
GUGAGGAAUUUUCCGCAAUGGGCGAAAGCCUGACGGAGCAAUGCCGCGUGAAGGAUGAAGGCCUAUGGGUUGUAAACUUCUUUUCUCAGAAAAGAAUUAUGACGGUAUCUGAGGAAUAAGCAUCGGCUAACUCUGUGCCAGCAGCCGCGGUAAGACAGAGGAUGCAAGCGUUAUCCGGAAUGAUUGGGCGUAAAGCGUCUGUAGGUUGUUUAAAAAGUAUUCUGUCAAAGAUUAGGGCUUAACCCUAGAUAGGCAGAAUAAACUUUUAAGCUAGAGGUUGGUAGAGGCAGAGGGAAUUCCCGGUGGAGCGGUGAAAUGCGUAGAUAUCGGGAGGAACACCAAAGGCGAAGGCACUCUGCUGGGCCAAUACUAACACUGAGAGACGAAAGCGAGGGGAGCAAAUGGGAUUAGAUACCCCUGUAGUCC